rnacentral:rRNA from 1 species
UGCCAGACUCCUACGGGAGGCAGCAGUAAGGGAUAUUGGUCAAUGGGGGAAACCCUGAACCAGCAACACCGCGUGAGGGAAGACGGUUUUCGGAUUGUAAACCUCUGUCCUCUGUGAAGAUGAUGACGGUAGCAGAGGAGGAAGCUCCGGCUAACUACGUGCCAGCAGCCGCGGUAAUACGUAGGGAGCGAGCGUUGUCCGGAUUUACUGGGUGUAAAGGGUGCGCAGGCGGCACGGCAAGCCGGCGGUCAAAUCGCGGGGCUCAACCCCGCCCAGCCGUCGGAACUGCCGGGCUAGAGUGGGCGAGAAGUGCGCGGAAUGCGUGGUGUAGCGGUGAAAUGCAUAGAUAUCACGCAGAACUCCGAUUGCGAAGGCAGCGUACCGGCGCCCAACUGACGCUGAAGCACGAAGGCGUGGGUAUCGAACAGGAUUAGAUACCCCUGUAGA